CCACAGUCAACAAAACUAAUAAUAAUUCAAAGGCUAUGCCAAUAGACUGGAAUAUCAAAAGGAGCUGCCAAGCUGAAAAUACUAGAUGGAUGGAAUAUCUGCCUCUUGAAUAUGAGACUGGCUAAGUUCAGAGUACAUCAGAAGUCAACCACAGGGUUGAGAAAGCAUCCUCCUGCAACCACCAGGGCCAGUGAUCCAGUGAUUCCUAGGCCUGAGAGGAGGCAAAAAGUGCCCUUUUCUAGGGUAGGAGCCUAUCUUAUUUCAUCUGCACAGCAGCCCUAUGGGAGGAGGAGGAAAAGGAAGAAGAGGAGGAGGAAGAAGAGGAGGAGGAGGACCAAUAUUAUUACUAUUACUUUGUAG
rnacentral:lncRNA from 1 species